GAGGGUAUAGCUCAGUGGUAGAGCAUACAAUUAGCAUGCAUGAGGUCCUGGGUUCGAGUCCCAGUAUCUCCA
rnacentral:tRNA from 1 species